rnacentral:rRNA from 1 species
CAGCCGCCACGGUAAUACGGAGGGUGCAAGCGUUAAUCGGAAUUACUGGGCGUAAAGCGCACGCAGGCGGUCUGACAAGCCAGAUGUGAAAUCCCCGGGCUUAACCUGGGAACUGCAUUUGAAACUGUCAGGCUGGAGUCUUGUAGAGGGGGGUGGAAUUCCAGGUGUAGCGGUGAAGUGCGUAGAGAUCUGGAGGAAUACCGGUGGCGAAGGCGGCCCCCUGGACAAAGACUGACGCUCAGGUGCGAAAGCGUGGGGAGCAAACAGGAUUAGAUACCCCAGUAGUCCCUGUCUCUUAUAC